rnacentral:rRNA from 1 species
GACGAACGCUGGCGGCGUGCUUAACACAUGCAAGUCGAACGGUGAAGCUCCAGCUUGCUGGAGUGGAUCAGUGGCGAACGGGUGUGUAACACGUGAGCAACCUGCCCCUGACUCUGGAAUAAGCGCUGGAAACGGCGUCUAAUACUGGAUACGAGAAGGGUCCGCAUGGGCACUUUCUGGAAAGUUUUUCGGUUGGGGAUGGGCUCGCGGCCUAUCAGCUUGUUGGUGAGGUAAUGGCUCACCAAGGCGACGACGGGUAGCCGGCCUGAGAGGGCGACCGGCCACACUGGGACUGAGACACGGCCCAGACUCCUACGGGAGGCAGCAGUGGGGAAUAUUGCACAAUGGGCGAAAGCCUGAUGCAGCGACGCCGCGUGAGGGAUGACGGCCUUCGGGUUGUAAACCUCUUUCAGCAGGGAAGAAGCGAAAGUGACGGUACCUGCAGAAGAAGCACCGGCUAACUACGUG